rnacentral:lncRNA from 1 species
AAAUUAUAAAACCAUUCGAAACUAGUAUUAGGCAUCAAAAUUUACAAAUUCAUAACACAAUUCAUCAUCACUCUGUAUAUAAAUUACAGAAACCAUGAUUUCCAUUAAUAAUAAGUAACCAACCUAAUAAGUCGUUUUUCAUCCCGAAGACGGGAAGACAUCCUUAACAGCAGAAGCAGCAGUUAAAUAAUUCAAAGUAUUCCUCAAUGUUUCCUUUUCCCUUUUCAAUCUCACAGCUGUAUCUUCUAACUCAAGUAACGCUUGUUGUUCC